GACGAACGCUGGCGGCGUGCUUAACACAUGCAAGUCGAACGGUGAAGCGCCUUCCUUUUUGGUGGGUGUGGAUGCGUGGCGAACGGGUGAGUAACACGUGAGUAACCUGCCCCCUUCUUCUGGAUAACCGCAUGAAAGUGUUGCUAAUACGGGAUAUUCUGUGUCUGUCGCAUGCUGGGUCUGGGAAAGAUAUUGUGUCGGUGGGUGAUGGGCUGGCGGCCUAUCUGCUUGUUGGGGUGGUGAGGGCCUACCCAGGCGGUGACGGGUUGGCGGCCUGGGAGGGUCGACGAUCACACUGGUGCGGCGCCACGGCGCCGCCUACGAGAGGAGGCAGCGGUGGGGAUUAGUGAACAGUGGGCGGAAGGAUGAUGCAGCGCCGCCGCGUGGGAGAUGGACGCCUUCGGGUUGUGAACCUCUUUCGCGAGUGAAGCAGGUCUGCCUAGUUUGUGGGUGGGUUGACGGUAGCUGGAUAAGAAGCGCCGGCUAACUACGUG
rnacentral:rRNA from 1 species